AAAUUCACCAGCUAUGGUGUUUUUAUUUGUGGGUUUAUUUUAAGCCUCUCCCUCUUUCCUCACCCUACCCUCAUAUGCACUUACAAUUUUAUAUAACUCUUGUCACUUUUUCCUAGUCAUCUGGGUUUUAUUUCAAAGAAAAUUGCUCUUUUCCACCUAACACAUAAUGAAGAGAGGCUCACUAUAAAAAAGACAAAGAUAUUAUUUGUUUUUCUAUAUUGUUAGUUAUUUCACAUACAUAAUUAUCUUCCCUUAUCCCUCUAUUUACAUCUCUCCAGUGAUGUCAAAGAGACAGCAGCAGUAUUUAAUGUGUAGUUUUGUUUGCUAUCUAAAAUCUAGCCAAAAGUAAAAUGUAUUAUUUAUAUAUGCUUCUAAGAGUGGAGAAAAAAUUAUAUCAUAUCUAUAAAAUCUCUGUUGCUUAAGUAGUCAGAGGCCAUUUGAAUUUAACUCCAAGAGGACGUUGGAGUUAACUCCUAUACUACAAUAUUGAUCUAGUAACUGGAUUAAUUAUCUAGUUUUGUGACACACAAACACACCCCACCCACACACAAAUGAGAGAGAGAGAGAGAGAGAGAGAGAGAGAGAGAGAGAGAGAGAGAGAGAGAGAGAAGAGAGGAUAGAUACUGAGUUGCUACCCUUUGUUUCAGGUUUCAGUGUUUAAAUAUAGGAAAACACGAAGAACAAAUGUGCUAGAUUUGAAGAAACCAAUCAAUGUGUUCAAGAGAGAAUUCAUGAAAUAUUUCUUGAAACAAAAUAUUUUAGUGACCAAGCAGAAAUUGGAACACAGAUUCAUAUUUUAUAGAAUAUACUUUCCAGAGAAAUUAUGUGAUUCAAGCAGGGGUCUGCAAACUAUGGCCUGUAAGCCAAAUCCUGCCUUUGGCCUGUUUUACACAGCCCCAAGCUAAGAACGAUGUUUAAUUUUUUAAAAAUAUCACUUAAAAAUAUAUGUGGCAGAGAUUGUCCAUUGCUAGCAACAUCUAAAUAUUGACUAUACGUCUCUUCAAAAAAAGUUUGUAAGUAUACUAACCAUCUCUAGGAUAAAUAUAACAUUUUCUUUCCAUGUAUUUUGACAGAGUAUUUCCUUACUGGUCUCUUAAAAAAAUGCACACAAUUAUCAAUAAGUAAACUUGGCAAUAUGUGACUAAUUGCAAAAUAGCAAAAUCUGUAAGUUGAGUUUAGCAUGUCAAGAUUUUAAAGCAUAUAAACCACUUUCUGCUUUACUUGUGUAAGUACUUAAUUUUUGUGUUUUUGUUUCCUUCCAAAAUGGGGCCAUGGAUUAAGCAAAUUAUAACCUUUAAUUUUUAAGAAAAAAUUUAUUUUGAAAAAAGUUAAAUCUAC
rnacentral:lncRNA from 13 species